CCUUUUAGAAAUGGGUACCUUCAUCGAGUAUGAAGGCUCUCCAUAUGAUACAGUAUCAAGCUCGCUGAAAGCAGUAUCACACGCUGGGUGUGUAAGAUCAUGCCUUGUCAAAAUACCGACCUUCAGAGAGAGAGAGAGAGAGAGAGAGAGAGAGAGAGAGAGAGAGA
rnacentral:ribozyme from 1 species